AUUGAACGCUGGCGGCAGGCCUAACACAUGCAAGUCGAACGGUAACAGGAAGCAGCUUGCUGCUUUGCUGACGAGUGGCGGACGGGUGAGUAAUGUCUGGGAAACUGCCCUAUGGAGGGGGAUAACUACUGGAAACGGUAGCUAAUACCGCAUAACGUCGCAAGACCAAAGAGGGGGACCUUAGGGCCUCUUGCCAUCGGAUGUGCCCAGAUGGGAUUAGCUAGUAGGGGGGGUAACGGCUCACCUAGGCGACGAUCCCUAGCUGGUCUGAGAGGAUGACCAGCCACCUUGGAACUGAGACACCGACCAGACUCCUACGGGAGGCAGCAGUGUGGAAUAUUGGACAAUGGGCGCAAGCCUGAUGCAGCCAUGCCGCGUGUAUGAAGAAGGCCUUCGGGUUGUAAAGUACUUUCAGCGGGGAGGAAGGGAGUAAAGUUAAUACCUUUGCUCAUUGACGUUACCCGCAGAAGAAGCACCGGCUAACUCCGUG
rnacentral:rRNA from 1 species